AUUUGAACGCUGGCGGAAUGCUUUACACAUGCAAGUCGAGCGGCAGCGCGGGGCAACCUGGCGGCGAGCGGCGAACGGGUGAGUAAUGCAUCGGAACAUGUCCAUGUCGUGGGGGAUAGCCCGGCGAAAGCCGGAUUAAUACCGCAUACGCUCGAGAGAGGAAAGCCGGGGACCGCAAGGCCUGGCGCGAUUGGGUUGGCCGAUGUCCGAUUAGCUAGUUGGUGAGGUAAAGGCUUACCAAGGCGAUGAUCGGUAGCUGGUCUGAGAGGAUGAUCAGCCACACUGGGACUGAGACACGGCCCAGACUCCUACGGGAGGCAGCAGUGGGGAAUUUUGGACAAUGGGGGCAACCCUGAUCCAGCCAUUCCGCGUGAGUGAAGAAGGCCU
rnacentral:rRNA from 1 species